rnacentral:lncRNA from 1 species
CGCUGCUGCUCCUUUAUACUUGUUAUGUGAUCAAGCUCUAUGUGACUAGUGAAAACCGUAUCCCAAUAUUUGUUAAUUAUAUUACAUUCCUAUUUAAAUUUCGAUCAAAUCAAAUGGUAAUUUUGUUAUGCCUGCUGCCAAAUCCAAAAACUCUUAGCAACUUGUCACUUAGAGAUUCCAUCAUGCUUUUCUAUUGCUCAUUAGGAGCUCGUUAAACUAAAAUCGAAAAGGAUGCUGACUUGCAAUCUUCUUGUCAUUUCCACUGAGCCGGUCAAGUGGCAUGAUUUAGUUUUGAGGGUUGAGCUCGUAAACUGAAAGUGCAAAGGAUGCUGGCUCUGAAGG